rnacentral:rRNA from 1 species
UAAGGAAUAUUGGUCAAUGGACGGAAGUCUGAACCAGCCAUGCCGCGUGAAGGAUGAAGGUCCUCUGGAUUGUAAACUUCUUUUAUAUGGGAAGAAACCCGUGAAUUCUUUUACGGUUGACGGUACCAUAGGAAUAAGCACCGGCUAACUCCGUGCCAGCAGCCGCGGUAAUACGGAGGGUGCAAGCGUUAUCCGGAUUCACUGGGUUUAAAGGGUGCGUAGGUGGGUAUGUAAGUCAGUGGUGAAAUCUCCGUGCUUAACAUGGAAACUGCCAUUGAUACUAUAUAUCUUGAAUAUUCUGGAGGUUAGCGGAAUAUGUCAUGUAGCGGUGAAAUGCUUAGAUAUGACAUAGAACACCAAUUGCGAAGGCAGCUAACUACGGGGUUAUUGACACUGAGGCACGAAAGCGUGGGGAUCAAACAGGAUUAGAUACCCUGGUAGUCCACGCCCUAAACGAUGGAUACUCGACAUACGCGAUACACAGUGUGUGUCUGAGCGAAAG